ensembl:antisense Gm12300 predicted gene 12300
AGGGUUUUUGGAGGCUGUUUCUCCCGGCUUGGGUGUUGUAUCAUUCAUCACAGAAUUCAAAGCCAGGGGCAACAGACUGCUGUGUGAUACCCAUGAGUGUUUCUACUGCAUCACAGAAGGAGAUACAGACAUGAUUUCCUAGGGUACAGGCAAAGGCUCAAGGCUAGCGGUGACGCCAAUGAGUUUGGUAUACAACAAAAGAUCUUAAAAUAAAGAACUGAAUAUCAGGACCUUGCUAAGAGGACAGUGAACAUCAGAAAAAAGUGACCUAAAUGGAAAGAGCAUCUUCAAAUGACAGAACAACUUAGAAUGACUGGAAGAACCAAAGAGAACGGGUCAUAGAGACAGGUAGUACUUAGGUAGGAUUGUGCGAAAGCAAAGAUCUCCCUACUUCCCAUCCAUAGUCUGCCAGGAAAAACAACUCAAAGAAUGAGAAAUGUUUGGAAUUUUUUCCAUCCAGGCAACUAAGACUCCUCCUGAACUGAUUUGCAGUACUGUUGUGUAUGGAAUGUUACAGAACACUCAAAGAAGUCAAUUUAAACGAUUGCUAGAUCAUCACUUGAUUCUGAGGAAUCAUCACUGAGCUGAGAUUUUAGCAUCAGAGAGAACUCUGAGACUCACAGACUGAACUUGGAGCUGCAGGUCAUUUUUCUCUUGCAUCAGAGCUACCAUCUUUUCUUCCAGCUCUUUUCUUUUGGCCUCCGCCUUUGCAAGGUUUUCUUUAGCUUUUUCAAAUUCUUCCUUCAUGUUGGCCAUCUCCUUCUCGGUCUCUGCGCUCUUCAAGAGAGGUUUGAUCUUGAAAUACAGCUUCAUCCAGGGCCAGUGUUUCACAUUCAUGAAGGCGCGGACGUUGUACUGGAUGCAGAAGAUGGACUCUCUGUGAUAAGAACAGAAAUGUUCAAAGUUGGGUUCUAACAGGAAUCAGGAAUAAAGGGACUAGAACAAAGAAU